GUUAAAUGUAUAUAAAUAUGAUGUACCAUAUUUUUUAAUUCAAACAUUGUAGAAAAUAUUCAAAAACAGCUUGAAUUCAAGACGCAUGUCGAGAAUUUUCCACAUGUAAGGAUGCAAUUUAUAAAUAAAUACUAAAGGUAAUUGCAGUAAGAUUACACUUGAUGACCGUAGGAUUUCAGAUAGUAUAUAAGGUGUUAAGUAUAGUUAGAUUCAGAUCAAAGUAAGGAAGCUAAGGCAAGUAACCUUUUCACUGUCGAUUGUAUUUUGAGGACAAAGUUUAGAUAGAAGAAAAGUUAUAUAAGAAAUACAAUGAAGGUCACUUUUUAUUUCUGUGCCAUUUUUAUUGCCAUGAUAGUAGGCCGAGAAUAUGUAACGGCUAUGCCUGCAGCGCAAGUAGUGAUAUCACAGCCACAACCCGGUUAUCCUGUCCGCCCGAUGACAACAGUUGUGGUGGCGCAGCCGCAAGACGCGUAUACUUACGGUGUUGGAGCUGGUUAUACCGGUUACAAUAGAAGGUACUUGUACUAAAUAGAAAAAUGUGAUAUAUCUCAGAAAAAAUAAAAUGUUAUCAAU